rnacentral:rRNA from 1 species
GGGGGCAACCCUGAUCCAGCAAUGCCGCGUGAGUGAAGAAGGCCUUCGGGUUGUAAAGCUCUUUUGUCAGGGAAGAAACACCGGNUCUAACACAGUCCGGGAAUGACGGUACCUGAAGAAUAAGCACCGGCUAACUACGUGCCAGCAGCCGCGGUAAUACGUAGGGUGCAAGCGUUAAUCGGAAUUACUGGGCGUAAAGCGUGCGCAGGCGGUUAUACAAGACAGGCGUGAAAUCCCCGGGCUUAACCUGGGAAUGGCGCCUGUGACUGUAUAGCUAGAGUGUGUCAGAGGGGGGUAGAAUUCCACGUGUAGCAGUGAAAUGCGUAGAUAUGUGGAGGAAUACCAAUGGCGAAGGCAGCCCCCUGGGAUAACACUGACGCUCAUGCACGAAAGCGUGGGGAGCAAACAGGAUUAGAUACCCUGGUAGUCCACGCCCUAAACGAUGCUGACUAGUUGUUCGGGAUUUACAUCCUGAGUAACG